AAGGGCGCGUAGGCGGAUUAUCAAGUCUCUUGUGAAAUCCAACGGCUUAACCGUUGAACUGCUUGGGAAACUGGUAAUCUAGAGUGGGGGAGAGGCAGAUGGAAUUGGUGGUGUAGGGGUAAAAUCCGUAGAUAUCACCAAGAAUACCCAUUGCGAAGGCGAUCUGCUGGAACUUAACUGACGCUAAGGCGCGAAAGCGUGGGGAGCAAACAGGAUUAGAUACCCUGGUAGUCCACGCCCUAAACGAUGUAUGCUAGUUGUUGGGGUGCUAGUCAUCUCAGUAAUGCAGCUAACGCAUUAAGCAUACCGCCUGGGGAGUACGGUCGCAAGAUUAAAACUCAAAGGAAUAGACGGGGACCCGCACAAGCGGUGGAGCAUGUGGUUUAAUUCGAAGAUACGCGAAGAACCUUACCUGGGCUUGAUAUCCUAAGAACCUUAUAGAGAUAUGAGGGUGCUAGCUUGCUAGAACUUAGAGACAGGUGCUGCACGGCUGUCGUCAGCUCGUGUCGUGAGAUGUUGGGUUAAGUCCCGCAACGAGCGCAACCCACGUAUUUAGUUGCUAACACUUCGGGUGAGCACUCUAAAUAGACUGCCUUCGUAAGGAGGAGGAAGGUGUGGACGACGUCAAGUCAUCAUGGCCCUUAUGCCCAGGGCGACACACGUGCUACAAUGGCAUAUACAAUGAGACGCAAUACCGCGAGGUGGAGCAAAUCUAUAAAAUAUGUCCCAGUUCGGAUUGUUCUCUGCAACUCGAGAGCAUGAAGCCGGAAUCGCUAGUAAUCGUAGAUCAGCCAUGCUACGGUGAAUACGUUCCCGGGUC
rnacentral:rRNA from 1 species